rnacentral:ncRNA from 1 species
CCCGCUGAGUUUAAGCAUAUCACUAAGCGGAGGAAAAGAAACUAACAAGGAUUUCCUUAGUAACGGCGAGCGAACCGGAAAUUGCCCAGCUUGAAAAUCGGGGCGCUUUGCGCUUUGAAUUGUAGUCUGGAGAAGGGACCUCAGCAACGGACCGUGCUUCAGUCCUUUGGAAAGGGACGCCAGAGAGGGUGAGAGCCCCGUCUAGCACGGACCCUGUUGCAACACGAGGCUCUGUCUACGAGUCGGGUUGUUUGGGAAUGCAGCCUUAAGUGGGUGGUAAAUCUCAUCCAAGGCUAAAUACUGGCGAGAGACCGAUAGUGCACAAGUACCGCGAGGGAAAGAUGAAAAGGACUUUGAAAAGAGAGUUAAAAAGUGCUUGAAAUUGCUGGGAGGGAAGCGAAUGGAUGCCUUUGUUGCCUGCUGGUUGUGUGCGGAACGGCGUAAAAGCUGGUCUGUCAAUCAACUCAGCGGGCUCGCUAGUGUGGGGGUGGAUGCCGGGAUAAAGGUCCCGGGCUCUUUUGCUUGGGAUUGAUGCCGGUGUCUACUCUGUGGCCUAGGGUGUGCGCCAUUCUGGCGGGCAACCUGCACACCCGGGACGCUGGCGGUUUUAGGUUUUUCAUUCGACCCGUCUUGAAACACGG